rnacentral:lncRNA from 1 species
GGAUCGAUCAGAGCAAAGGGGGGAGAAGACAAACCCUAACUUCAUGAAAUUCUCAAGAAUUGAAAGAGAUUAGGAGCCCAAACUAAUGCAUGAACUCGAAACCUCAAUCAUCUAAGCUUGUACAACAAGCGGAACGUGUCAAGGAGAGGUCAAGCAUAGGAGGAUAACGGGUCAAGAUAAGGCAAGAUGACAAAUACACUUAUUGGAGUACUCGAGGUAAGUGAAUUUCGAUUCACUUUUUAGUAGGUUUAAUAGAUUUUAAUACUUAUGUUUACGAAACAUCAUGAAAGAACAUGUAAUAAUCAGAAGUACAAAGCCAAUAAUGCCUCAUUAUUGAAGAAGGUUGUAUUUAAGCCGAAAGUAAAUUGGUGGGUUUAAACGGGUCGAAUUUUAUGUGCAUAUGUUGCGUAAUGAAAUGAAAUUCGUUAUGGUUAAGACCUUGGGUAAGAAUUUUAGUCAUUAUGUAAGGGGAACAUUUCCCGGACCAUUAGGUACAAGUUUUAUAUGAUUCGGUUGUCGGUCAAUGAAUGAACGGAUUGUUUCGUUUUAGUGUAGGAAAUUUUAUAAGUAUAUGUGUAUAGGAAUCCAAAGGCCACGUGGGUUGAAUCGUAGAUUGUCUAUACUAUGUAAAGUUUUGAAUGUGACAUUCCGACAUAAACCUACAUGUAAAAGAAGCUUGUGUAUAUAUUCGUGAUUAAUUGAUUGUGCGAAGGAAGGAACAUUGGCAUGAAUGAAGGUACGCACAUAUAUAUAUAAGUGUAUAUAUAUAUAUAUAUGUAUGUAUGUAUGAUAAUAAGUACGUAGGUGUGAAUGUAUGUGUGAAUGAAUGUUCAAUGCUUAAGACAUAUGCAUGAACGUAUCAAAGGGUUCGAGUAUUUAUGGAUACUAAUGAUGUGCGUUGAGUUGGAAUGUAAUGUAGGUAUGGGGUCGUUGGCUUCAUGAAGAAAUGGAGCUGGAUUUGGAUAAGAGUAUUUAAGAAAGCGCUUGGACAAUUCCACGACUACUUUAUAGAAUGCUCUACGAAAUUUUAUUAUAUAGUUUAAUGUUGAAUGGUAUGUUAAUAACUAAUGGUUUGGUUGUACGUGGUGUCCACAGGUAUCGCUUGGGUUUUCUCUACUUUUAUUGAAGUGAAGCGGACUUAGUUCGAGUUGAGAGCAAGGAUUGUACGGGGUAGAAUGGUCACAUAGUGUAACUCAUAUAGGUUUUGAAGUAUUAAUGUUAUAAAACGUUAUAAAUCCGUUUUAAUGAAUAUAUGGAAUUUCGCAUUU